rnacentral:rRNA from 1 species
UACGUAGGGUGCGAGCGUUGUCCGGAUUUAUUGGGCGUAAAGAGCGUGUAGGCGGUUUGGUAGGUCCGCUGUGAAAACUCGAGGCUCAACCUCGAGACGCCGGUGGAAACCAUCAGACUAGAGUCCGGAAGAGGAGAGUGGAAUUCCUGGUGUAGCGGUGAAAUGCGCAGAUAUCAGGAGGAACACCGGUGGCGAAGGCGGGUCUCUGGGGCCACUACUGACGCUGAGGAGCGAAAGCGUGGGGGAGCGAACAGG